rnacentral:rRNA from 1 species
UACGGGGGGGGCAAGCGUUGUUCGGAAUUACUGGGCGUAAAGGGCGCGUAGGCGGCUUUUCAAGUCGGGCGUGAAAUCUCCGGGCUUAACCCGGAAGGGUCGUUCGAUACUGUUGAGCUAGAGUGUGGAAGAGGCAACUAGAAUUCCGUGUGUAGCGGUGAAAUGCGUAGAUAUACGGAGGAAUACCUGAGGCGAAGGCGGGUUGCUGGGCCAACACUGACACUGAAGUGCGAAAGCCAGGGGAGCAAACGGG